UGCCAGCCGCCGCGGUAAUACAGAGGGCCCGAGCGUUAAUCGGAAUCACUGGGCUUAAAGGGUUCGUAGGUGGUUGAAAAAGUUGGUGGUGAAAUCCCAGAGCUUAACUCUGGAACUGCCAUCAAAACUUUUCAGCUAGAGUAUGAUAGAGGAAAGCAGAAUUUCUAGUGUAGAGGUGAAAUUCGUAGAUAUUAGAAAGAAUACCAAUUGCGAAGGCAGCUUUCUGGAUCAUUACUGACACUGAGGAACGAAAGCAUGGGUAGCGAAGAGGAUUAGAUA
rnacentral:rRNA from 1 species